AUAAAAUUUAUUAAAAAAAAAAAAAAAAAAAAAGUGUAGUAUCUGUUCUUAUCAGCUUAAUAUCUGAUACGUACCCCAAUGGGGUACUUCGAUAUUAAACUGAUUUUUUGACCGAAAUGAGGUGUCGGGGCUUGCUCCGCCCUCAUCACGGGUUGCCCUGGUAUUGCAGUAUCUCCAGGCGUGGCCCACCCCUU